rnacentral:rRNA from 1 species
CCUACGGGAGGCAGCAGUGAGGAAUAUUGGUCAAUGGGCGAGAGUCUGAACCAGCAAAGCCGCGUGAGGGAAGACGGCUUUAUGGGUUUUAACCUCUUUUUAUAUGGGAGUAAAUCAGGGUAUGCCUGUUGUCUUGUCCGUAUCAUAUGAUGCAGGAUCGGCUGACUUCGUGCAUGCAGCAGAGGUAAUCCGGAGGGUCCGAGCGUUUUCCGGGUUUACUGGGUUUAAAGGGAGCGUAGUGGGAUUGUUAAGUCAGUUGUGAAAGUUUGCGGCUCAACCGUAAAACUGCAGUUGAAACUGGCAGUCUUGAGUACAGGAGAGGUGGGCGGAAUUCGUGGUGUAGCGGUGAAAUGCGUAGAUAUCACGAAGAACACCAGUUGCGAAGGCAGCUCACUGGACUGCAACUGACACUGAGGCUCGAAAGUGUGGGUAGCAAACAGGAUUAGAUACCCCAGUAGUC